rnacentral:rRNA from 1 species
GAAGUAAAAGUCGUAACAAGGUUUCCGUAGGUGAACCUGCGGAAGGAUCAUUACAGUAGUCGCCCGGGUUGCCGCAAGGCCUCCCGGGUAACCUACCACCCUUUGUUUAUUACACUUUGUUGCUUUGGCAAGCCUGCCCUCGGGCUGCUGGCUCCGGCCGGCGAGCGCUUGCCAGAGGACCUAAACUCUGUUUGUCUAUACUGUCUGAGUACUAUAUAAUAGUUAAAACUUUCAACAACGGAUCUCUUGGUUCUGGCAUCGAUGAAGAACGCAGCGAAAUGCGAUAAGUAAUGUGAAUUGCAGAAUUCAGUGAAUCAUCGAAUCUUUGAACGCACAUUGCGCCCCCUGGUAUUCCGGGGGGCAUGCCUGUCCGAGCGUCAUUACAACCCUCAAGCUCAGCUUGGUGUUGGGCCCCGCCGCCCCGGCGGGCCCUAAAGUCAGUGGCGGUGCCGUCCGGCUCCGAGCGUAGUAAUUCUUCUCGCUCUGGAGGCCCGGUCGUGUGCUCGCCAGCAACCCCCAAUUUUUUUCAGGUUGACCUCGGAUCAGGUAGGGAUACCCGCUGAACUUAAGCAUAUCAAUAAGCGGAGGAA